AAACGACUCUCGGCAACGGAUAUCUCGGCUCACGCAUCGAUGAAGAACGUAGCAAAUGCGAUACUUGGUGUGAAUUGCAGAAUCCCGUGAACCAUCGAGUUUUUGAACGCAAGUUGCGCCCGAAUCCAUUCGGUUGAGGGCACGUCUGCCUGGGCGUCACGCA
rnacentral:rRNA from 1 species